AAACUUUCAACAACGGAUCUCUUGGUUCUCGCAUCGAUGAAGAGCGCAGCGAAUUGCGAUAAGUAAUGUGAAUUGCAGAUUUUCGUGAAUCAUCGAAUCUUUGAACGCAUAUUGCGCUCUAUAGUAUUCUAUAGAGCAUGCCUGUUUGAGCGUCAUUU
rnacentral:rRNA from 1 species